UGGGGAAUAUUGCGCAAUGGACGAAAGUCUGACGCAGCGACGCCGCGUGAGGGAUGAAGGUCUUCGGAUUGUAAACCUCUUUCAGCAGGGACGAAGCGAAAGUGACGGUACCUGCAGAAGAAGCACCGGCUAACUACGUGCCAGCAGCCGCGGUAAUACGUAGGGUGCAAGCGUUGUCCGGAUUUAUUGGGCGUAAAGAGCUCGUAGGCGGUUUGACACGUCGGAUGUGAAAACUCGGAGCUUAACUCCGAGCCUGCAUUCGAUACGGUCUAACUAGAGUGUGGUAGGGGAAACUGGAAUUCCUGGUGUAGCGGUGAAAUGCGCAGAUAUCAGGAGGAACACCAAUGGCGAAGGCAGGUUUCUGGGCCACCACUGACGCUGAGGAGCGAAAGCGUGGGGAGCGAACAGG
rnacentral:rRNA from 1 species